rnacentral:rRNA from 1 species
CCUACGGGAGGCAGCAGUGGGGAAUAUUGGACAAUGGGCGCAAGCCUGAUCCAGCAAUGCCGCGUGAGUGAUGAAGGCCUUAGGGUCGUAAAGCUCUUUUACCAGGGAUGAUAAUGACAGUACCUGGAGAAUAAGCUCCGGCUAACUCCGUGCCAGCAGCCGCGGUAAUACGGAGGGAGCUAGCGUUGUUCGGAAUUACUGGGCGUAAAGCGUACGUAGGCGGUUAUUCAAGUCAGAGGUGAAAGCCCGGGGCUCAACCCCGGAACGGCCUUUGAAACUAGGUAGCUAGAAUCUUGGAGAGGUCAGUGGAAUUCCGAGUGUAGAGGUGAAAUUCGUAGAUAUUCGGAAGAACACCAGUGGCGAAGGCGACUGACUGGACAAGUAUUGACGCUGAGGUACGAAAGCGUGGGGAGCAAACAGGAUUAGAUACCCUGGUAGUCCACGCCGUAAACGAUGAUAACUAGCUGUCCGGGCACUUGGUGCCUGGGUGGCGCNGCUACGCAUAAGUUAUCCGUCCGUGGGAGGUACGGUCGCGAGAGUAAACUACAAAGAAGUAGACGGCGUGAGAGUUGCGAGGACGACACGAGGGAGAGG